rnacentral:rRNA from 1 species
CCCGGGCCUUGUACACACCGCCCGUCACACCAUGGGAGUUGGUUCUACCCGAAGACGGUAUCCUAACCGCAAGGAAGGAGCCGGCCACGGUAGUGUCAGCGACUGGGGUG